CAGAUAGUUUGUGAAGGUUCUCAGUCAUCCAGGUCAUGGUAUCUGAGUAAGGGUUAAAUCAGCAGCAACUGGAUUUGGUUUAGGUUCUUGAAGACGUUUCACUUUUCAUCCGAAAAGUUUCUUCAGUUCUGGCUGAAUGUUAGGGGAACCCAGGAAUUGAACCUCUGUGGGGUCGUUAGCAGGAAUAUAGGAACCACUCAGUACAAUGGUGCUCCUCCAGAGGUGUGACCACUGGAGUUAUGGAUUGUUAGAGUCAGCUGAUACCAGGUGUGAAUGACUGUCCGGUGAGGUCAGGUGUGAAUGGUUGUUUAGUCUCCUGGGCAGGGAUGCCAGGAUAGCAUUGAAGAUGGAAGACAGGUGAUGCCUUAGGCCUCCUCCUCUGUUGAGUGAUGGCUUCUCUACUUUAGCAUAGAUGGCCUCUUUCACUCCUCUUUCAAACCAUAUUUCCUCCCUGUCCAAAAUAUGCACGUUAUUGUCCUCAAAAGAUUGUCCCUUGUCCUUCAGGUGCAGAUAGACUGCUGAGUCUAAACCUGAGGAGUUGGCCCGUCUGUGUUGAGCCAUCCGUCUGUUUAGUGGUUGUUUGGUUUCACCAAUGUACCAAUGAAUAACAGAUUGCUCCAUCUCGUCUGUGGCCUCAGUGUUACACGAUAGAAAUCAUUUGUUUUCUUCUAAAUUAAAGUGGAAACAAUAUUCUAACAUUACAAAAUAUAGUUUUGGGGAACUAGACUCUUUAAGAUUAAAAAAAGCGCCUCCUCCCCAUCCUUGAGUCAGACAGGAAGUUGUCAACAGGAAGUUGUGAAACAUUAAAGUGUCAUGAAGUGUCACUGAUGGUCAGGCUCAUUGAUGCUGAGAUGAACAUCACUUUAAAAGCCUGAAGCCAGAAAAGUCAUUGAGAAAGUUUCCUGAUCAAUCGACUGACUCUGCUCCUAUAAUGAGUGAUCCACAGAGCUACAGAGGAGGUGAAGCUCCAGCCUCCCAACAACGCUCAGUGUCACAUGGAGGGUCAAAGGUCACAUCAGAGAGAGUGGCCCUGCUGGUUCUCAGCGCUCUCCUGGCAGCUGCUGUCAUUGUUAUAUAGUUUGUCAUCGUUUGAUAACCUGUGAACCAACAAAUGUUUCCAGACACUGAGAGACGAGCAUGAAGCUUUAAAAAGAAAUCUCAAGG